rnacentral:rRNA from 1 species
GACGAACGCUGGCGGCGUGCUUAACACAUGCAAGUCGAACGGAAAGGCCCCUUUGGGGGUACUCGAGUGGCGAACGGGUGAGUAACACGUGAGUAACCUGCCCUUGACUUCGGGAUAACUUCAGGAAACUGGGGCUAAUACCGGAUAGGAAUCCUUGCUGCAUGGUGGGGGUUGGAAAGCUUCGGCGGUUUUGGAUGGACUCGCGGCUUAUCAGCUUGUUGGUGGGGUAGUGGCUUACCAAGGCUUUGGCGGGUAGCCGGCCUGAGAGGGCGACCGGCCACAUUGGGACUGAGAUACGGCCCAGACUCCUACGGGAGGCAGCAGUGGGGAAUAUUGCACAAUGGGCGGAGGCCUGAUGCAGCAACGCCGCGUGCGGGAUGACGGCCUUCGGGUUGUAAACCGCUUUCAGCAGGGGCGAAGCUUGUGGUGACGGUACCUGCAGAAGAAGCACCGGCUAACUACGUG